UACGUAGGGGGCGAGCGUUGUCCGGAUUUAUUGGGCGUAAAGAGCGUGUAGGCGGCCAGGUAGGUCUGCUGUGAAAACUCGAGGCUCAACCUCGAGACGCGGUGGAAACCAGUGAGCUAGAGUCCGGAAGAGGAGAGUGGAAUUCCUGGUGUAGCGGUGAAAUGCGCAGAUAUCAGGAGAACACCCGUGGCGAAAGCGGUCUC
rnacentral:rRNA from 1 species